CCCCUAGUAAAUCCGAGUGAAGCGGGAAAAGCUCAAAUUUAAAAUCUGGCAGCGGUUGGCUGUCCGAGUUGUAACCUAGAGAAGUGUUGCCCGUGCUGGACCGUGUACAAGUCUCCUGGGAUGGAGCAUCAUAGAGGGUGAGAAUCCCGUCUCUGACACCGACUACCAGUGCACUGUGGUAUGCUCUCAAAGAGUUGAGUUGUUUGGGAAUGCAGCUCUAAAUGGGUGGUAAAUUCCAUCUAAAGCUAAAUAUUGGCGAGAGACCGAUAGCGAACAAGUACCGUGAGGGAAAGAUGAAAAGAACUUUGGAAAGAGAGUUAAACAGUAUGUGAAAUUGUUGAAAGGGAAACGUUUGAAGUCAGUCGUGUUGGCCAGGGAUCAACCCAGCUAUUUUUGGUGGGUUUACUUCCUGGUCAAUGGGCCAACAUCAGUUUUGGUCACUGGAGAAAGGCAUUGGGAAUGUGGCACCCUUUUUGGGUGUGUUAUAGCCCAUUGUCACAUACAGUGGCUAGGACUGAGGAUAGCAGCGCGCCGCAAGGGGCGGGUUUCGACCACUUCCGCGCUUAGGAUUUGGGCAUAWKGGCUUUAACCAACCCGCCU
rnacentral:rRNA from 1 species